CAUGCUAGAGCACUUUUUCAAUGUGCUCCCCAACGAGAAGGCGACGACGCAUUCAUAUGUCAAUCCAUAUCAACUUUCGAUGCCAUUGACUGCGCCUACCAUGGUGACCACGGGUAAUGGGGAAUCAGGGUUCGAUUCUGUACAGGGACCCUGAUAAAUAGCUAUCACAUGCAAGGAAGGCAG